GCAAACUUGGUCAUUUAGAGGAAGUAAAAGUCGUAACAAGGUUUCCGUAGGUGAACCUGCGGAAGGAUCAUUACUGAGUGCCGGGGCCUAGCCCCGCUCUCCCAUCCCGUGGUGUAACUUAAGGGUUAUAUUGCCUCCGGCCUCUGCCCGGUCGGCAGUCUUAGAAGACUCGGUAAUGGACUUUGCUCUGAAUUGUAUUGAGAAAUCAAAUGAAAACUUUCAACAACGGAUCUCUUGGUUCCGGCAUCGAUGAAGAACGCAGC
rnacentral:misc_RNA from 1 species